UCGACCACCCAACACAGUCUCAGUGACUCGAGUCCAACCUCGGACCUUUUCCAGCUUUGAAAGUUUGGUCCAAGGUUGGACUCGAGUCUUCACUACGGUUAUCGUCGGAUAACCGCUAGGGGGGGGGGACGUUAGAAAAUCCGUCAAGCAAUUUUCACGCCAUUAUCGUGAUAUUAUUGUUUUUAAACGAUUAAUCGAUAUCCCAGGGAUGUAAUUAAUCAAUGUUAAUGAUAUAUUUUGUGGGUGGAAUUUUAAGGGCUUCAAGCUUGUGAUUUUACAUUAGCUUUCCCUUUCAUAUAAAAUUUCAGAAAAGUCGUUUGGUACUACCGUUUAGUACCACCCGAUUUGUUAUUGUUUGUCAGUGGUUUCUCAAAACAUUGAAAUUCAAAAUUGUGUGGUUUUUUUGUUUGCUGGUAUUGAAAUGGAAAGAAAUAGUACCACAAAUCCGUGUAAUAGGUUCGACCCACAACAAGAGGCUCGACUCAACAAGCUUCGAGCUAGCCACCCAAGAUCCAGACUUGUUGAGAAUCCAGUUGAAGAACAAAGUAGGACUCGUGUCUUUGCCAAUACAAUCCCAUAAGUGGUAAUUUGCAGCUAUAUCCAUCACCUCAACUCUCCCCUAUUGUGACGGAAGUAAGUCAAUUACAAAGAGAAGAGGUUCCUAUUGCUUGGCAAGAAAAUUUACCUUAAGUAUCAAAUAUUCGGGGUUUGCAAUUUUACUGUGCUUGUUCCUUGUCUUUUAAAUUAUUAAAAAUGACUCAGAAUAAUUGUCCUGCAAUAUUACCUGAUAAAUGUACGGCUAGGGUUUAUGAUGUGAUUGUGCACCGGCAUAUGCAGGUUGGAAUAUUGAAUACAAAAUUAAG